UAGUCCACGCCGUAAACGAUGGUCACUAGCUGUGUGGAUUUCGGUCUGCGUGGCUAAGCGAAAGUGAUAAGUGACCCACCUGGGGAGUACGUUCGCAAGAGUGAAACUCAAAGGAGUUGACGGGGCCCGCACAAGCGGUGGAGCAUGUGGUUUAAUUCGAUGAUACGCGAGGAACCUUACCAGGGCUUAAAUGUAGUUUGACAGACUAGGAAACUAGUCCUUCUUCGGACAAAUUACAAGGUGCUGCAUGGUUGUCGUCAGCUCGUGCCGUGAGGUGUCGGGUUAAGUCCCAUAACGAGCGCAACCCCUAUUCUUAGUUGCCAGCGAGUAAUGUCGGGGACUCUAAGAAAACUGCCCGUGCAAACGGUGAGGAAGGUGGGGAUGACGUCAAAUCAUCACGGCCCUUACGUCCUGGGCUACACACGUGCUACAAUGGUUGGUACAGAGGGUUGCCAAGCCGCGAGGUGGAGCUAAUCUCAUAAAACCGAUCGUAGUCCGGAUUGGAGUCUGCAACUCGACUCCA
rnacentral:rRNA from 1 species